rnacentral:rRNA from 1 species
GAAGGAGGAGCUUGCUUCUCCGGAUGAGUUGCGAACGGGUGAGUAACGCGUAGGUAACCUGCCUGGUAGCGGGGGAUAACUAUUGGAAACGAUAGCUAAUACCGCAUAAGAGUAGAUGUUGCAUGACAUUUGCUUAAAAGGUGCAAUUGCACCACUACCAGAUGGACCUGCGUUGUAUUAGCUAGUUGGUGGGGUAACGGCUCACCAAGGCGACGAUACAUAGCCGACCUGAGAGGGUGAUCGGCCACACUGGGACUGAGACACGGCCCAGACUCCUACGGGAGGCAGCAGUAGGGAAUCUUCGGCAAUGGACGGAAGUCUGACCGAGCAACGCCGCGUGAGUGAAGAAGGUUUUCGGAUCGUAAAGCUCUGUUGUAAGAGAAGAACGAG